GACGAGCUCUCCAAACGUUAUUCGGUAUCACUGGGCUUAAAGAGUUCGUAGGCGGUCUGGUAGGUGAGGUGUGAAAUCCCCCGGCUCAACCGGGGAACUGCGCUUCAAACCGCCGGACUUGAGGGAGACAGAGGUGGGCGGAACAGAUGGUGGAGCGGUGAAAUGCGUUGAUAUCAUCUGGAACACCGGUGGCGAAAGCGGCCCACUGGGUCUCAUCUGACGCUGAGGAACGAAAGCGUGGGGAGCGAACAGG
rnacentral:rRNA from 1 species